rnacentral:rRNA from 1 species
GACGAACGCUGGCGGCGUGCUUAACACAUGCAAGUCGAACGGAAAGGCCCUGCUUUUGUGGGGUGCUCGAGUGGCGAACGGGUGAGUAACACGUGAGUAACCUGCCCUUGACUUUGGGAUAACUUCAGGAAACUGGGGCUAAUACCAGAUAGGAGCUCCUGCUGCAUGGUGGGGGUUGGAAAGUUUCGGCGGUUGGGGAUGGACUCGCGGCUUAUCAGCUUGUUGGUGGGGUAGUGGCUUACCAAGGCUUUGACGGGUAGCCGGCCUGAGGGGGUGACCGGCCACAUUGGGACUGAGAUACGGCCCAGACUCCUACGGGAGGCAGCAGUGGGGAAUAUUGCACAAUGGGCGGAAGCCUGAUGCAGCAACGCCGCGUGCGGGAUGACGGCCUUCGGGUUGUAAACCGCUUUCGCCUGUGACGAAGCGUGAGUGACGGUAAUGGGUAAAGAAGCACCGGCUAACUACGUG